rnacentral:rRNA from 1 species
CCUACGGGGCGCAGCAGUGAGGAAUAUUGGUCAAUGGGCGUAAGCCUGAACCAGCCAAGUCGCGUGAGGGAUGAAGGUUCUAUGGAUCGUAAACCUCUUUUAUAAUGGAAUAAAGGGUGGGACGUGUCCUGUUUUGUAUGUACCUUAUGAAUAAGGAUCGGCUAACUCCGUGCCAGCAGCCGCGGUAAUACGGAGGAUCCGAGCGUUAUCCGGAUUUAGUGGGUUUAAAGGGUGAGUAGGCGGCCUUUUAAGUAAGCCGUGAAAGUCUGUGGCUCAACCAUAGAAUUGCCGUUGAAACUGGGAGGCUUGAGUAUGUUUGAGGCAGGCGGAAUGCGUGGUGUAGCGGUGAAAUGCUUAGAUAUCACGCAGAACCCCGAUUGCGAAGGUAGCCUGCCAAGCCAUGACUGACGCUGAUGCACGAAAGCGUGGGGAUCAAACAGGAUUAGAUACCCGUGUAGUC